ensembl:scaRNA
AAUCAGAAUGGCUGAGGCUGGGGCAGAGCCAGCUUCGCUUGAAAAACACCCACAGAGCACACCGGACUUGCAGAAAAAGCACACUCCAGAGGAAGCUGAGGCAUGCCUGCUCGAGAAUCAGCUGUUCCACGUGCAAUUUUCCUCCGAUAGUUCCUGGUCACUGUUGCCACGGUGGUAAUGACUGGGCUAUGUCAUUAUCUCUCUGCCAACAGUAAGAGAAGCUUUGCAGUCGAGAUACUGUUCAGCAGAUGGAUGUUUUCUGUUGGACACUAAGUACUGCUAAAGUU